rnacentral:tRNA from 1 species
GAAAAAGAAUGCAAGAACUGCUAACUCUAGCCUCCGUGCCUAACAACACGGCUUUUUCA